UACGAAGGGGGCUAGCGUUGCUCGGAAUCACUGGGCGUAAAGGGUGCGUAGGCGGGUCUUUUAAGUCAGGGGUGAAAUCCUGGAGCUCAACUCCAGAACUGCCUUUGAUACUGAAGAUCUUGAGUUCGGGAGAGGUGAGUGGAACUGCGAGUGUAGAGGUGAAAUUCGUAGAUAUUCGCAAGAACACCAGUGGCGAAGGCGGCUCACUGGCCCGACUGUA
rnacentral:rRNA from 1 species